GUACAACAGAACUCCUAAGUUGAAGAUGAAUGAAGGUCAUCUUCAGAUAAAUGUUUUCUAAAAUUUGCCAUAGAGGAUGGCUAUGAAAAAAACCACUAGGAGGACAACUGCAUGUUACAAGGUACCAAAGGUUAUAAUGUUAAAUUGUGUGCUUUUUUAUGUUUGUGGUAUUAUUCCUGAAGAACAGUACCAAAAAUGUUUAAUAACUGGCAUAAUGAUGACUCAAAUUACUUUUUGCCGUUUACCCAGCUGAGGGUGACUUUGAAGAAAUAAUUUCAAGACUGAGAUGCCAGUAACCCAUGUUAUGUGAAUUACUUAAAUAUAAUGCAGUUCUUAUUAAAAUAGGUGAAAUGUUCUUUUCAACAUACAGGUACCUGCAGGUGAAUGUUCAAGUCCUUAGCAUUAGUGUAGAAAUACUUCAUUGCCUCAAAGAUGUGGCAUACAGCAUUUCGGAAGGAAAAAUGAACUGGUCAAGAAGACAUGAAGCAAAUGAUGAAAAAUUAAUAAUUUUAUUUAACAUUGAUCAUCUCACAAUAAAUUCUGUAGAAAAAUACAAAUUCAAAUUAUUAAUUGCGGGACAAUAAAGUCUGUUAUCUUUAAAGUAUAUAAAGUCUUUAAAGAGCUUCAUUUUCAUAGUUUCUAGUCAGGCUUGUUUUUAACAUACCUUAGGGAUAAUGUAUUCUUGUCAAUAACUAGCUCCUCUGUGGAUAGUGAUUCUCUCUGAAGUGGCAGGUGGGAGGUAGCUGGGGAGACAUUUUUAGUACAUCCAGUUCUCAUACGCUUUCUUGCUUUAGGGGAUUUCUAGAGAGAUCCUAAUCACUAGAUACUAGAUAAUUGCAUACUAGGGUCUCCCCUUCAGAACCUGCCUUGAUAACUGGGAAACAAGCACAGUUGACUCAUUAACUACAAGGAGGCACAAACUCUCAUUGAAGUAAAAAAUCCAGGUAUAGCCUUACCAUCUGCCCUUUGUAUCCAAGGUUCCACAUCCUCUGAUUCAAUCAGCUGCAAAUUGUAUGCUGUAGUAUGUACUGGGAAAAAAAAAAAAAAAAAAACUCCUCCCUUUCUGUGGACCCAUGCAGUUCGAACUGGUGUUCAGAUUUUAACUAGUUUAGAUUUCCAAAAUUCCUUAAUAAAUUGCCCCUUACAAGUAAAGCUUUCACCUGUGACCUACAGAUUUUUUAAUUUUAUUCUUGGUUUGCUUUUACAUUUGUGAAGAAAAAAGUUCUAAUCCUGGUUCAGGUAAUAAUAUGCUAGAUUAAGAUGAGUAGUGACUGGACAGUCUGUUCAGGGGUUACAAACUUCAAAUUUAUAAGAGUUUGAAAACAACUGAAAUCCUACCCAGGUGAAGAUUUAAAUUUAGCUAAAUCUUAACUUUUCCCCUGUUGAGUCCCAUAGUACACAAAUUCUUCGCUUUUAUCGGGGUUAUAAUUUCAAUAUGGUAAGUCAAACAGUAUAAAGUGUAUAGCAGUAUCUCUAUGAUCACAUCCCAUCAGAAGCAACUUUUGAAAUCAUUCCACCCUCACUGUUCUCUUGUUUGAUCAACAGAAUCUGACACUUCACAAUUGUAAAAUGGAGGCCAUUUUAUGGAUCCCAGUUUGAUAAAAUGUGUUUUGCCUUCAUCCUACAGAGAACAGAAAGCAAAUCUGUAAGAAGCCACAAAAUAAAGUCUACAAUUUGUAAUACAUAAUUUUUUUAAAAAACAGAUUUGCCUUUUGAAAACAACAGUGUAUAUGGUCUCUGGCAUUAGUAGAUAUGCAAUAAAUACUGUUGAUGGCUAGGAAAUAAAAUAGUAAAUCAUCUGUCAAAGUCCUGUGUCGAGUGAGAGCUGUCUACCUUUAUGGUUAAGCUCCAUGAAGUACCAUUUUCUACAAAAACUGAGUAGUAUCUUGGUUAAUAAGGCGGCAAUUUUAUGACAUUAACCUUUUAGUGAGUAGAACUGUCUUAAAACUUUUAAAAGUGAAAACAGGGAUUUGGGGGUUUU
rnacentral:lncRNA from 1 species